UGAGUAACACGUGGGUAACCUGCCCAUAAGACUGGGAUAACUCCGGGAAACCGGGGCUAAUACCGGAUAACAUUUUGAACUGCAUGGUUCGAAAUUGAAAGGCGGCUUCGGCUGUCACUUAUGGAUGGACCCGCGUCGCAUUAGCUAGUUGGUGAGGUAACGGCUCACCAAGGCAACGAUGCGUAGCCGACCUGAGAGGGUGAUCGGCCACACUGGGACUGAGACACGGCCCAGACUCCUACGGGAGGCAGCAGUAGGGAAUCUUCCGCAAUGGACGAAAGUCUGACGGAGCAACGCCGCGUGAGUGAUGAAGGCUUUCGGGUCGUAAAACUCUGUUGUUAGGGAAGAACAAGUGCUAGUUGAAUAAGCUGGCACCUUGACGGUACCUAACCAGAAAGCCACGGCUAACUACGUGCCAGCAGCCGCGGUAAUACGUAGGUGGCAAGCGUUAUCCGGAAUUAUUGGGCGUAAAGCGCGCGCAGGUGGUUUCUUAAGUCUGAUGUGAAAGC
rnacentral:rRNA from 1 species